rnacentral:rRNA from 1 species
UGGUAAUUCUAUGGCUAAUACAUGCGCACUCGCCUCCUUCUCUGGAGGGGCUGUGUUUAUUAGGUACAAAACCAACCCACUUUGUGGAGUCUGGGUGAUUCAUAGUAACCGAACGGAUCGCAGUUGGCUUCGGCCCGCGAUAUAUCUUUCAAGUUUCUGACCUAUCAGCUUUCGACGGUAGGGUAUUGGCCUACCGUGGCAGUGACGGGUAACGGGGAAUUAGGGUUCGAUUCCGGAGAGGGAGCCUGAGAAACGGCUACCACAUCUAAGGAAGGCAGCAGGCGCGCAAAUUACCCAAUGAAAACAGCUUCGAGGUAGUGACGAGAAAUAACAAUACAGGGCAUUUUUUGUUCUGUAAUUGGAAUGAUGGGAAUGUAAAACCCUUUCAGAUUAACAAUUGGAGGGCAAGUCUGGUGCCAGCAGCCGCGGUAAUUCCAGCUCCAAUAGUGUAUAUUAGAGUUGUUGCAGUUAAAAAGCUCGUAGUUGGAUUUCUGUCGUGGUCAUCCGGUUCCGCCCGUAUGGGUGUGCGCCUGGUUUGCCCUCGGCUUUCUUCCGUUAGCCUUCGGCGCUUCAUUGCGUCUGUUGGUGUUUCGGAACUUUUACUUUGAGAAAAAUAGAGUGUUUCAAGCAGGCUUGUCGCCCUGAAUACUUCAGCAUGGAAUAAUAAGAUAGGACCUUGGUUCUAUUUUGUUGGUUUCUGGGACUAAGGUAAUGAUUAAUAGGGACAGUUGGGGGCAUUCGUAUUUAACUGUCAGAGGUGAAAUUCUUAGAUUUGUUAAAGACGAACUACUGCGAAAGCAUUUGCCAAGGAUGUUUUCAUUAAUCAAGAACGACAGUAGGGGGUUUGAAGACGAUUAGAUACCGUCGUAAUCUCUACCAUAAACUAUGCCGACUAGAGAUAGGGAAAUGCCUACCUUGGCUUCUCCUGCACCUCAUGAGAAAUCAAAGUCUCUGGGUUCUGGGGGGAGUAUGGUCGCAAGGCUGAAACUUAAAGGAAUUGACGGAAGGGCACCACCAGGCGUGGAGCCUGCGGCUUAAUUUGACUCAACACGGGGAAACUCACCAGGUCCAGACAUGGGAAGGAUCGACAGAUUGAUAGCUCUUUCUUGAUUCUAUGGGUGGUGGUGCAUGGCCGUUCUUAGCUGGUGGAGUGAUCUGUCUGGUUAAUUUCGAUAACGAACGAGACCUUAGCCUGCUAAAUAGGAUCGGGAACCUCGGUUUCCGCAUCACUUCUUAGAGGGACUUUGCGUGUCUAACGCAAGGAAGUUUGAGGCAAUAACAGGUCUGUGAUGCCCUUAGAUGUUCUGGGCUGCACGCGCGCUACACUGAUGCAUGCAACGAGUUUUUAACCUUGGCCGGCAGGUCUAGGUAAUCUUUUGAGUAUGCAUCGUGAUGGGGAUAGAUUAUUGCAAUUA